AGGUGUGGAGGAGUACAGAACACACAAGGGAAACAGAGCAACAGAAAACCCAAAACCCAGAAAAUACUAACUCUCAACGUAACCUACACUAACCCAUCCAAGAAUACCCACGAACACAAACCCAAGUACACAACAAGCAAAACAUAUGACCAGAAGGACUCAACAGAAAUGCAAAACAAGGGACCCCAAAGAACAAAAAGACACAAGUCCAAAAAACACUAAAAGGCCAGACAGGAUGUGACAAAGUUACUUUCUAUCUGACACAUCAUGUUUGCAUCAGAGGAUUUCUUCUUUUCUUCUUUCUUUCUUUUUAUCUUUCUCACCACUUAUUUGGUGUUUACUGUCCACAUCAAGUAGCAAUAAUCAGGGAGAAGUUGUGGUUAAGACUAAAAAAAAAAGGGGAAGGAUAGACAGAAAGGUGGGGUGUGAUGUUUUUAGGCAACAUAUAUAAAUUCAUGAAAACAACACUUGAGACAAACCAACUGCAGAGUCAAGACGAGGAAAUAACCAACUAGAGUUCAUACUUUAGGACGAAGGAUCUCAGCAUCGAAGGCCAACAUAAUGAAGAGCGUUCUUCUCCUCAUCCUCUCACUAACAGCAGGCUGUGAGGCCUCGUCUGAAGUGAAGGGAUGUGAAGGAGGAUGGGUUGAACUCACCUGCAAAUACCCAAGAGAAGAUCAGGAAUAUCAAAAGAUAGAGGUUAUUAAUCCCAGAGAAUCAAGCAUACAAACCACUACAAAGGAUGUGUGGGAUGGGGAUGACAGAUUUUCCCUGUACCAUGAUACAAGAAAUAAAAAUCUCAGGAUGGCCAUUAAACAACUUGAACAUGAUGACUUUGGGGAGUACGACUGUAAAUUUUACCAAAGACUUAAGUCAUCUCCUGAAACCCAGAAACUGGAACUGGAACUGGAAGUUGUGAAAGAUGGCUGCCAGACACCAUUUACUCAAAAUGCGUAUGAAACAGCUAAAACCACCAUCACAUGUGAUUUCCCUAAAAAGUACAACUCCUAUGUCAAGUUUAUCUGCAAAGACAACAAUGAAAUCUGUGAGGAGAUUUUAUCAACACAAUCUUCUGUAAAGUCAAACGGGACUUUCACUCUCACAGACACCAACAGCUUCAACAUGUCCAUCAGUAAUGUGAGCUCACAGCAUGCUGGUGUCUACUGGUGUGGAGUCAAAUCAAAUGAAGGAAGUUACAGAGUUUCACUCAGAAAAAUACAACUGCAGGUUAAAAGUAAGUAAUACAGAUUCAGCUCUCCUCUACUGGUUAGAGGCUUUUUCUGACUUUCAUUUUCUGUUUAUCAGUGAAACAUGACUCAACACAACAGGUGAUUUAAAAGAUGUUAACACAAAUUUAUACACAUUCAGAUGUUGUAUUGGCAGUUUGGCUGUCAUUUAAUAUUUAGUAAAAGGCAACUAUCAUAAAAAAACAAACACUGGGAAGUUUUCAGUGGAGGAUGACAGAGAGAGGAGAAAUAUCACCAUAACUGUGAGAAACGUAACAACAGACGACACCGGGACAUACUGGUGUGGAGCAGAAAACACUGACAAUAGACACAGUAAAACAUUCUUCAACAAACUGGAGAUGACUGUAGUGCCACGGACUCGCUCACCUGCUGAGAGGAAUGCCAUCAUCAUUACUGUCAUCUGUGUAGCUGUGCUGCUGCUUGUGCUGAUUUUGGUUCUUGUCUACACACGAUGUUCAAAAUACAAAACAAAUGAAGAGGGACUGGACAACGCCGAGGAUUUUGUCUAUGAGGAGCAGCCCCACAAGCCUGACUCGGGAACUGCACUGAAAACUAUUUAUGUCAGUGCCAAACAUCCCACCAACCCCUCUGCCUUUACGCAUUACUCCAACAUCAACCAUCCAACCAGCCCAGGGGAAGUUAGUGGUGACACAUAUUCUACUGUGAAGGACAAUGGUCAAUACUCUACUGUCAAUCACCCAUCCAGGUGUUCUGAAAACCCUCUCUACUCUACUGUCAACAAGCCACAGGAACACUGAGGAAAGUUUCCAGGCUGUGAGCUUUGCCAAGAUUUCAGUUCAUUCUUUUUUCUUUUCAAACCCAAACACAGACUUUUAAACUGUUUAAGAUUAAAUUGUUCAUCUUUGCUUGAUUUAUCAAGAUUUAUUCAGAGGACUUCUGCACUGAUGUACUCCAAGUUACCUGAUGUGCAACCAACAAUGCAGUUCAACACAUCCACCACAAACCACGACCUCAAAAAGGACUGAAACAACACCUCUGCUGUGAGGCCUCGUCUGAAGUGAAGGGAUGUGAAGGAGGAUGGGUUGAACUCACCUGCAAAUACCCAAGAGCAGAUCAGGAAUAUCAAAAGAUAGAGGUUAUUAAUCCCAGAG